rnacentral:rRNA from 1 species
CAGGCCUAACACAUGCAAGUCGAGCGGUAACACAGGGAGCUUGCUCCUGGGUGACGAGCGGCGGACGGGUGAGUAAUGUCUGGGAAACUGCCCGAUGGAGGGGGAUAACUACUGGAAACGGUAGCUAAUACCGCAUAACGUCGCAAGACCAAAGAGGGGGACCUUCGGGCCUCUUGCCAUCGGAUGUGCCCAGAUGGGAUUAGCUAGUAGGUGGGGUAAUGGCUCACCUAGGCGACGAUCCCUAGCUGGUCUGAGAGGAUGGCCAGCCACACUGGAACUGAGACACGGUCCAGACUCCUACGGGGGGCAGCAGUGGGGAAUAUUGCACAAUGGGCGCAAGCCUGAUGCAGCCAUGCCGCGUGUAUGAAGAAGGCCUUCGGGUUGUAAAGUACUUUCAGCGAGGAGGAAGGCGAUAAGGUUAAUAACCUUGUCGAUUGACGUUACUCGCAGAAGAAGCACCGGCUAACUCCGUGCCAGCAGCCGCGGUAAU